UAAAUAAAAAAAAAAAAAAAAAAAAAAAAAAAAAAAGAAGGGCCAAGAUACAAAAGACAAGAAAUAACAAGUGUUGGUGAGGAUGUGGAGAAAAGGCAAUGCUAGCACAUUGUUGGUGGGAAUGUAGAUGGUGCACCCACUGUGGAAAACAGUAUGGUGUUUUCUCAAAAAAUUAAAAACAGAAAUAUCAUAUGACCCAGUAAUUCCACCACCACCCAGUAUUUACCCAAAGGAAAUGAAGACACGAAUUCGAAAAGAUAUAUACACCCCCCUUUGUUUAUUGCAGCAUUGUGUAUAAUAGCCAAGAUGUGGCAGCAAACCCAAGUGUCUAUGAGUAGAUGAAUGGAUAAAGAGGAUGUGAUGUAUAUACAUGAUGGAAUAUUACUAAGCCAUGAAAAGGAAUGAGAUCUUGCCAUUUGCAAUCACAUGGAUGGACCCAGGGGGGUUACGCUAAGUGACAGAGGUCAGACAGAGACAGAAAAACGUCAUAUGAUUUCACUGAUAUGUGGAACCAAAAACCAAAACAAUUGAAACGGACUCAUAAAUACAGAAAACAAACUGGUGGUUGCCAGAGAGGUUGAGGGGUGGAGUGAAAUAGGUGAAGAAGAUUAAGAGGUACAAACUUUGAACUAUAAGAUAAAUAAGUCACAGGGGGGAAAAGCACAGGACAGGGAUUAGAGUCAAUAAUAUUGUAAUAACUUAGUCUGGUGACAGGUGGUGACUAUGCUUAUCAUAGGGAACACUGCGUCACGUAUAGAAUUGUUGGCUUACUGUGUUGCACACCUAAAACUAACAUGAAACUCUACUUCGAUUUAAAAAGUAUGGCAACAUACAGAAAUAGAACCUGGAUGCUUGGUCAAUCAUACGGAGCCACUGAGGCACAGGGCCCGGGACCCACGAUAGUUUUAAUUUCAGAAUCAGAAGAAAAGUAAGUAUAAUGAUAACAAUUAAUAUAUAAUAAUGAGUCCAGCUGGCGUUACAAUUCAUCGUUAUGCCAAUGCAGUCAUAAAAUAUAAUUUUUAAUAUUUUUAUGGUCGAAGGACCAACUACGGCAAAAGUGCAAGCAGCCUACAAAAGUCAUAAUGGGGACCAGCAGUUACCUCAUUAUACUACAAUGGUCAGGAACCUACAGUUUGGAUGCUCUGUUGGAUUUGGAAAAGAUUUUCUUGGGGCAUCUGGCUGGCUCUGUACGCAGAGCAUGCAACCCUUGAUCUCGGGGUUAUGAGUUCCAGCCCCACGCUGGGCAGAGAGAUGACUUAAAAAGGUUUUCUUCGGGGCCCCUGGGUGGCUCGGUCGGUUAAGCGUCCGACUUCGGCUCAGGUCACGAUCUCGCGGUCUGUGAGUUCGAGCCCCGCGUUGGGCUCUGUGCUGAUGGCUCAGAGCCUGGAGCCUGUUUCAGAUUCUGUGUCUCCCUCUCUCUCUCUCUCCCCCUCCCCUGUUCAUGCUCUGUCUCUCUCUGUCUCAAAAAAAAANNNNNNNNNNNNNNNNNNNUUAAAAAAAAAAAAAAAGGUUUUCUUCGUUUUUUUUUUUUUUCCUUUUUGUGCUUUCCGUGAUGGAACUAAUAAAAAUUCUCUUAGAAAUUUCAGCAUGACGCAUUACGGUAAGAGGCAGAAGGGAAGAAAACUGGGUUUUGUGCUUUUAUGGAGAACACCUUUAAGAAGCUUUGGGUUCUGCUUUUGGUUCACCACUAUUCGUGAUCCUUGAAUAAGUUCUCUCAGCGUCUGGCAUUUAGUUCUCUCAUCUGUAAACAGUGACCUAUAAGACCUCGACCCUGUGGGUACUGAUGUGGGCUUUCCCUCUUACAGACUGUAAUUUCAACAAGUCAUUUAACCUCAUUGUGGCUCAAGUUUCAUAUAUAUAUAUAUAUAUAUAUAUAUAUAUAUGAAUCCUUCCUCUAAGCAUUGGUUUUUUUUGUUUUGUUUUGUUUUUUUAAUUUUUUUUCAACGUUUAUUCAUUUUUGGGACAGAGAGAGACAGAGCAUGAACGGGGGAGGGGCAGAGAGAGAGGGAGACACAGAAUCGGAAACAGGCUCCAGGCUCUGAGCCAUCAGCCCAGAGCCUGACGCGGGGCUCGAACUCAAGGACCGCGAGAUCGUGACCUGGCUGAAGUCGGACGUUUAACCGACUGCGCCACCCAGGCGCCCCUCUAAGCAUUGUUUUAAGAGUCAAAUAAGCCUCACUACAAGUCCUAAUCGUUGGGCGUAAGGAUCACGGGUGCCCCUGGACAUACUGCAGGGCAUCCAGUAACUCACCCCUUGCCUUUCCACUCAACGAAGGACACCGAAAUUCAGGUCAAUGAGAACCUCACUCAGGGAUGAUCUUGAAUGCACCUUAAUCUACCCUAAAACAGGAGACCAAGUUUCCCAGAUAUUGUUAUCAUUAGGAACUUAGAGCUCCCUCCCCAGUGUCUGGUCUGUGCUUCUGCAUCCAAAUCAGUUCUCCCAAGGGAGUCUGGGGGAAGGGGACAGUACGCUCCCCACUUGUCCCCUAACGGGAACUUGUCAAGGAUGGACCCGGGCCUGAUGACCUACCUCAGAGUGUGCUCUUUCCAGACUGAGGUCUCUGGGAAGGGAUGGGUUUGCUUGCAGUCGCUGCUUUCAGGCAAGGCGCUCUGACCUCAGUGCCUUCGUGUGAGUGAGGUUUCAAAGGGUUUCCCAGAGGUUGUUGGGGUUGGCUCCACAGGGUUUCUCAGGCCCUUCCCAAGACCCAAAGCAGGCGAAUAAUUGGUGACAAGGGCAGGGACAUGGGUUUAUUUUACGGUUCUCUGUCUCGGCAGGGCCAGCAACCUCUGGAGCCCCGAAGGAGCUGGUUGGUAACCUUGGUGGGUCUGUGACUUUCCCUCUGAAGCUCCCAGGAAUUCAGAUAGACACUAGCGUCUGGACGUUAAACACAACCCCUCUCGUCACCAUAGAGCCAAAAAUGCCAGACAGACAAGCCAACGUCAUAGUGACCCACAGUCGCAACAAGGAAAGGGUGAAGUUUUUACAAGGAAACUACUCCCUGAAGCUCAGCAAACUGAGUAAGAAUGACUCUGGUGACUACCGCAUGGUGAUAUACAGCUCUUCCCUCAAAGACUCCUUCAGCCAGGAGUAUAGGCUGCGUGUCUAUGGUGAGCAGACUCGGUUCCCAGAGUGGAUGACUGUUUUCAUAAAGUGGUAAACUCUGAUAUUGGAGCUGUCCAAGCAAAGGUUGGAUGAACCCUUAGCAAGAAUGUGGAAGAGGGAACUCUUGUAUGGAUGAAGUGAAUGUAGUUGACCCCUAAGGUCCCUUCCUGUUCGGAGACUGCGAGAGGCAAUGCAGUAUAGACAAUGGAUGAUGUGGGACACAGCGACCACACAAGCCAAAUGCUGGCUGCUCUACCUACUAACUGCAUAGCCUUCGCCAGGUUACUUAAGCUCUGUGAAACUCCGUUUCCGUGUCUGUAAUGAGGAAGAAAGUGGUCCCUAUCUUAGAAAGACUUUUGUGUAUAAACAUCAAUUACACCUUCUCCCCUACCAACGCCAAUCAACUGAGAAAUGGACACAAGAAUCAGGAGGAAGAUAAAAACAUCAGUUAUUUUUUCUGGCGAAGCUAGAUAGGAGAAAUAUUUUCCCCCAACUCUAGAUCACUCAGGGAAGAUGAACUUACAAAACAAUGACUCAAGCAGCUGUAAGAGUAGUUGUCUCACUCACUGAGCUACAGUACAAGGGAUGCCAGGAGAUGGGCCUCCAAGUUUGCCCUUAAGAUGUAGGCUAUGGACCUUGAGCCAGGUGGCCCUCCAUAUAGACAUAAUUGAGGGGAUCAGGGGGACACGCGUUAUGUGGCCAGACUGGCUGGGGGAGGGGGAAAAGGUCAAACCACAUCUAAACAGAAAUCGUCACAGCACAAAGUAGACAGAUGUAGUAGAGAAAUGUAGAGGGUGGAUGUCAGGCUCUCACCAUCUCAUCAACGAGCAAAUUGCUCAUUCUCUAGGGGAGAACAGCGAGCAGAAGAGAGAGAGGGGGGGACCAGAGGUAUUAUUCCCACACUAUUCUCUCCCGGAGAGUAAAGCGAAAGUCGCUUCAAGGAAGCCUGAGGACAGAAGAAUGGGGAGCCUCUGGAAAAGAUAAAAUUAGCUCCCAUCUACGAUGCAUCUAGCACAAGGCUGGCCGUAUAGCUGUGCGUUGAAAAUGGCAGCUGCUCUCUUGUUGUAUUAUUAUUAUUUCUACUGCUAUUGGUGCUUUUAGGUAGCUGUGGGAAAGCAGACCUAGGUAGCUCUUUCCCAGAUAAGAAUAAGAAUUCUUCCCUGAACUGCUGCUCCCUCUCUGCUCUGUAGCACCGCAGAGAUUCAGUCCCAGAUCUACAAGAAUAAUUCAGAAAAGGCAUAGUUUCCACCCUUGGUGGUCUGUUUCUCUUUUGCAGAACGCCUAUCAAAGCCCAAAGUUACCAUGGGUCUGCAGAACAAUAAGAAUGGCACCUGUCUCACCAACCUGACAUGCUUCAUGGACCAGGGAGGAGAGGAUGUGACCUACAGCUGGGAGUCCCUGGGGCAGGCAGCCAAUGAGUCCCAUAAUGGCUCCAUCCUCCCCAUAUCCUGGAGGCUGGGAGAAAGGGACACGAUCUUCAUCUGUGUGGUCCGGAACCCCAUCAGCAGCAACUCUUCAAACCCCAUCUUUGCCAGGAAGCUCUGUGAAGGUGACUCUCUCUCCUCUCUCUCUCUCCAGGGGCCUCUGGUCUUAGGACCUAGACCUUCUUCAGUCCCUGGUCCCCUUGGGAACAGCCCAUGAAAACUGGAGACCCCCGGGAACUCAGCAGACUGGGAGGGAGGUGGCACUUGCCUCAGGAGCUGUGUCAUUUUCCCUAUCUGACUCUUCCCCCUUCCCUGUGCCCCCACCUACUCUAUCUUUAAGGGUGCGGCUGCUGACUCAGAAUCCUCCAUGAUUCUGGCUUCCCUGGGGGUGCUGUUGCUGAUCACUGCCUUUGCACUCAUGCCAGUUCUUCUGAUUAUGCAGAGAGAAAAAAGAAAAGGUAGAGCAUACACUAUUUUUGCCUUCAGCCUCAUCCGUGCACGUGCCCCCUCGUUUAUUCAACAAACAUACGUUGAGCUGUGUGCCAGGCUCAAUACUAGGCACUAAGGAUACAAAAAUGAAGAAGCCAUACUCUGUGUCCUCAAGGAGAACGCAACCAACCCUCACUUCUUAGUUCUGGAGUAAGAGAGUGCUGGAGUCCUUAACCCCUCCCCUAAGACCGAACUCCUCCCAGUUCCCUCCCCAGCCCCACCCCUCCCCUUCCCCCAAAGGGACUUACUGGCGUGACUCUCCUGAAGACACAAACCCCACACUGCUGACUCCGCUCCCCUGACGCGGGAGGUGACAGCCUCCAACUCUGAGGUCCCAUAGAGCCGCACACCCUACUCACCCCUUCCAAUCCCCACCCUUGUCAGAGGCCCCAACCCAGUCCUGGCCCUCGUCACCGGACCAACUCCAGAGACCUCUCUUUACUCUGUACCUCAGUCUAGAUGCAUUCCUCCUGGAGAAGUCUGUCUCUGCCUCUUCCCGUGCCACGUCCCAGGCUCCGCAUCCCUAAACCCUGCUUUUUUGUUUUCUCAGGUUCCCACUGAUACUGUGUGUGUGGGGUGUUGGGGAGGGACCUAAGUCUCAGUUGUGUAUAAAUCGCAAAUGUUAAAAUCUCCCUUCCCUCUUGAAAGAGCUCUGAAGGCAUUUCUGACUCGCUCCGCUUCCCCUUUGUCUGACUUGGUCCAAAAAUUGGAAAGUGAAGUGCUGAGAGUAACCAGUUCAUCGUGGGAUCUCCUUGAGUGUAGCACUGAGAGUCCCACGUCCUGAAACACCCUUCAGCUGUAGGGACUGAGCAUGNNNNNNNNNNNNNNNNNNNNNNNNNNNNNNNNNNNNNNNNNNNNNNNNNNNNNNNNNNNNNNNNNNNNNNNNNNNNNNNNNNNNNNNNNNNNNNNNNNNNNNNNNNNNNNNNNNNNNNNNNNNNNNNNNNNNNNNNNNNNNNNNNNNNNNNNNNNNNNNNNNNNNNNNNNNNNNNNNNNNNNNNNNNNNNNNNNNNNNNNNNNNNNNNNUUUCUCUCUUUCCUGGAGGCUGAUCUUAUUCUCUAAGGCCCUUUUUGCUUUAGUUGAAAUUUCUGCAUGGACUUGGGUAACAUGGGUAUGAGGAUGUAUAGUCCUUGAAACCCCAUGUCUCUCCCCAAGUCCUUAUGAAUUCUGUCUUGUGCAGGAUUUGGUGGCCUCUGUUUCUGCCCCANCCCUGAUUCUCUCCCGUCUCACUUUCAGAGUCCAUUGAAGAGAGGAAGGGAAUGGACACUCAUCAGGAAAUUCCUAACCACUACCCCCCGUCUGGAGAGACCCCAGUUUACGACACAAUCACUUGCGUUGAUGUGAGUCCUUUUUCUGUCUUUCCUGGAGGCUGAUCUUAUUCUCUAAGGCCCUUCUUGCUUUAGUUGAAAUUUCUGCAUGGACUUGGGUAACAUGGGUAUGAGGAUGUAUAGUCCUUGAAACCCCAUGUGUCUCCCCAAGUCCUUAUGAAUUCUGUCUUGUGCAGGAUUUGGUGGCCUCUGUUUCUGACCCAGCCAGUGAUGCUCACCAUGUGAUCCAUGGCAUCUUCCCUUCCCUCCACAGUUCACAAGGGCCACUCAACAGGCCCGAUUUCUUUUUCAAAGGACGGCAGGUAGAAAAGCGUGACUCUGGCCUGAUGUUUAAGUUAUAAUGUAGUUCUGUCGUUUUGACCCAUCAGUGAUCCUCACAUAUCUGCUCCAAGGACCCUUCAGGCAAAUGGAAAAUUUUACUUGCAACUUUAACAAUAUUACUUCCCAUUAUACUUCCAUCACCUUAGGCUGCUCAUAGCUCACAGGACUUCUAUAUCUUACACAGUUUAAAACUAAAUACAACACAGUUUAAAAAACAGGCAAUGUCUUCUAAAAAAAAAGUUAUUAAUAAUUAUAAUAACACUCACCAGCAAGAGCUUCUCCUUUCCCCAUUCCUGGUCCAGAACCUCUCUUCCUUCUUGCCCCUUCUCCCAUCUCUGCUUUCCCUUCUCUAGACUCUGGGUGUCUCUUUGGCCUUGUCGAGCUGACUCUAUGAUUUCUUUUUUUUUUUUUUUUAAUAGAAAACUAUUCCAGAGGAAAAUCCAGAAAAAACACUUUACUUCUCAGUGCAAAUACCUCAAAAGGUAAGAAGCUUUAGAGCUGAGAUUCACCUUACUUGUCUCAUCCUUUUUCCUGGUUCAAGCUUAGCGAAAUAUGUCUUGGGCCCCAAAGAUCUUGUAUUCUCUGAUAUUAAACGUUUCCCCGGUAUGUUCCCAUUCUCUUUGCUGAGGGAUACCCAAGAAUAAACAGAAUAAAUGAGAAUUAUGUUUUAGGAGUUGAAUGGGGUAAUAUGGAACAAAUAGAAAGGGAGAGAAGAAGUUCUAGGGAAAAUCAGCAGGAUCCCGAAGAUUUGGGUUGAGAAAAGUCCAGGGGUGGGGUCAUGCCUCAGAGGGCUGGAGAGGCAAUGCCCGCUUGCCGCAGAGCCAACAGUAAGCCGGAGGUGGGAGAAAUUUCUGCUGCUUUCCUUUGGUCUAGCUAUGUUGCAUCGUGUUCGCACCCUCUCCCUAGUCAAACUACUAACGUGCUAAGCUUUAAAGCUUAACCCUUCACAGAUCAUGCUUCGCAGAAGUAGUGAUACUGUCCUGUCUCUCCUCCCAACCAGAUCAGAAAAGAUGAGGAUGGGCCAAGCACUUUGCUUAGUUAGCACUUUACUUAGGAAAGCCAUAGGAUUAUCGGAAGUAAAGUGCAGCUCAUUAAGCAUUCAACAAGAUAAAUGUGGUUGGAACUUAAGUAAUAAUUGGGUGACCCUGGCUAGGAAGAGUGUCUGGGAUGGUGGGGUCUUCUGGUGGGAUCCAGAGCCCUCCCACCUCUACCUCUGAUCUUUAUAUCUGCCUAACAGAUGGAGGAGCCCCACUCUACACCCAUAUCCCCAGACACACCAACGUUAUUCACCUAUGAGAUCGUCAACUAAACAGCAGUGCAUUGUUUCUGCCUCAUGAAGAUGGCGAAGAAGGAAGCCCCUGCCCCUCCCAAAGCCAAAGCCAAAGCAAAGGCUUUGAAGGCCAAGAAAGCAGUGCUGAAAGGUGUCCACAGUCAUAAAGAAAGAAGAAGAAGAAGAUCUGCACGUCACCUACAUUCCGGCGGCCCAAAACACUGCGUCUCCAAAGGCAGCCCAAAUAUCCUGGGAAGGGCAGCCUCCGGAGAAACAAGCUUGACCGCGAUGCCAUCACCAAGCUCCCCCUGACUACCGAGUCAGCCGUGAAGAAGAAGAUGGAAGACACAACACACUUGUUUCAUCGUGGGUGCCAAGGCCAACACGCACCAGAUCAGACAGGCCGUGAAGAAGCUCUACGAUAUUGGCGUGGCCAAGGUCAACACUCUGAUCAGGCCUGAUGGAGAAAAGGAAACAUACGUUCGACUGGCUCCCGACUAUGAUGUUUUGGAUGUUGCCAACAAAAUUGGGAUCAUCUAAACUGAGUCCAGCUGGCUAAAUCUAAAUAUAAAAUUUUUCACCAUAAAGAAAAAAAAAGAAAGAAAAUGGU
rnacentral:lncRNA from 1 species